AAUUUGUAAGGAAAAAAGCAGCUUACAGAAGGUGAAAGUGGCGUCAGGUGUCCUGGGAAGAAUGCAGGAACAUUGUCCAGGAAGCUAAGGAUCAGGUCAGGAAAGCUAAGGCCCAGUUAGAGUUGAAUCUGGCUAGGGAUGUCAAGGAUAACAGGAAGGGCUUCUAUAAGUACAUUGCCAAUGAAAG